UACGUAGGGGGCGAGCGUUGUCCGGAGUUACUGGGCGUAAAGGGCGUGUAGGCGGUUCUGCGCGUGUCGGGUGCCAGCGGAGGGCUUACCUCUCCGAGUGCUCGGCAGACGGCAGGGCUGGAGGGCUUCAGAGGGAGAGGGAAUUCCGGGUGGAGCGGUGAAAUGCGUAGAGAUCCGGAGGAACACCACAGGCGAAGGCACUCUCCUGGGAAGUACCUGACGCUGAGGCGCGAAAGCCAGGGGAG
rnacentral:rRNA from 1 species